rnacentral:rRNA from 1 species
GGUGAAUGCUGGCGGCGUGGAUAAGGCAUGCAAGUCGAAUGGGUUUAGACCCAUGGCAGACGAGGUAGUAACACGUAGGUACGUACCCUCAAGUCAGGCAUAACUGGUCGAAAGAUCAGAUAAUUCCUGAUAGUCCCUUCGGGGUAAAGAUUUAUCGCUUGAGGAGCGGCCUGCGACGUAUCAGCUAGUUGGUAAGGUAACGGCUUACCAAGGCUAUGACGCGUAGGGGAGCUGAGAGGCUGACCCCCACCGAUGGCACUGAGACACGGGCCAUACUCCUACGGGAGGCCGCAGUCGAGAAUCUUCCGCAAUGGGCGCAAGCCUGACGGAGCGACGCCGCGUGACUGAUGAAGUCCUUCGGGACGUAAAGGUCUUUUAUGAGGGAAGAAGUAUAUUGACGGUACCUCAAGAAUAAGGGGCUCCUAACUCUGUGCCAGCAGGAGCGGUAAUACAGAGGCCCCGAGCAUUACCCGGAAUUACUGGGCGUAAAGGGUGUGUAGGCGGUUAUGUUAGUCAUUUGUUAAAUCACCAGGCUCAACCUGGUACUCGCAAAUGAAACGGCAUAACUAGAGGAUGCGAGAGGUCUGUGGAACUCUAGGUGUAGGGGUGAAAUCCGUUGAUAUCUAGGGGAACACCAAAAGCGAAGGCAGCAGACUGGCGCACUCCUGACGCUGAAACACGAAAGCGUGGGUAGCGAACGGGAUUAGAUACCCCGGUAGUCCACGCCCUAAACACUGUCCGCUGGUUCUUGAGAGUAUCGACCCUCUCGGGGACGAAGCUAACGCGUUAAGCGGACCGCCUGGGUAGUACGAUCGCAAGAUUAAAACUCAAAGGAAUAGACGGGGGCUUGCACAAGCGGUGGAUCAUGUGGCUUAAUUCGUCGCUAAACGAAGAACCUUACCAAGAUUAGAAAUCCUACUGAACUCACGCCGAAAGGUGUGGGGCCUUCGGGCAGU